rnacentral:rRNA from 1 species
AACACAAUAAGCACUCCGCCUGGGGAGUACGGUCGCAAGACUGAAACUCAAAGGAAUUGACGGGGACCCGCACAAGCAGCGGAGCAUGUGGUUUAAUUCGAAGCAACGCGAAGAACCUUACCAAGGCUUGACAUCCCCUUGACCGGCACAGAGAUGUGCCCUCUCCUUCGGGAGCAAGGGUGACAGGUGGUGCAUGGUUGUCGUCGGCUCGUGUCGUGAGAUGUUGGGUUAAGUCCCGCAACGAGCGCAACCCUUAUCCUUAGUUGCCAGCAUUUAGGUGGGCACUCUAAGGAGACUGCCGAUGAUAAAUCGGAGGAAGGUGGGGAUGACGUCAAAUCAUCAUGCCCCUUAUGUCUUGGGCUACACACGUGCUACAAUGGUCGGUACAAAGGGCAGCGAAGGAGUGAUCCGGAGCAAAUCCCAAUAAACCGAUCUCA